rnacentral:lncRNA from 1 species
GAAAUCCCACUUCCAGCUAGAUGUCUGCAUGAACUACUGAAAGCUGCUGAGUGUCUUGCAGCAGGUGAGCUGUGGCCAGAGCUCAAGGAUGAAGGGGACUCCCUCACUCUGUGACUGUGAAGAGGAAGCCUGAGGUGUAGCAGGCCCAGGUCCCAGAAGUAUGGAAAAAAUGAGCAUUUCAUCCCAAAGAUGCAGCCGACUUGAUUGUGGUGGAUAAGCUUUUUGAUGUGCUGCUGGAUUCUGUUUGCUAGUAUUUUAUUAAGAAUUUUUGCAUUAAUGUUCAUCAGGGAUAUUGGCCUGGAUUGAGCAGGCCAUUUCCAAUCCAGCGGAAGACCUUCUAGAAGAGGUGAUGGGUGGGAGAGUGCUGGCAUACUAUGUGAAGCUACUAUUUGGAGUUGGACACGAGUGCAUGUGACCUUGUGCCACAGCGGGAAUGUGAGCUGGAUGACAAAUGGAGAUUUGGACUUGUGAUAAUUGGCCUCUGUGUCAUUGUGUGGAAGACUGACUGGUCCCUUUAUUUCCUGUAGCUUGACUACCACACAAAUGAAUCCACUCAAAUGUUGGCAAGUGGAGCAGAGUCCCAGGACAGGUACAGAAACACCCCCAGUUCAAGGAUCUUCACACCUGGAUUUAGGCCUACUCCUGCAACUACCCCAGAACCUGGAAUUUAUAUGUUCAACAUGGAGCCAUCCCAGCCAUGACAACAGAGAAUGUACCACUCUCACGCCAGUUAUCCAGGCAGUGACUUUCAGUGCAGCUACAGUCACCUCUGGAAACCUGCGGAGACUUUAAAAAUUUCCAGAAGGUCAGGAAUUUUUGGAGACCUUUCUCAUGGCUACAUUGCCUGCAAAGGUGAAUCAAUAAGCUUCUGAACUGACUUAGAAAAUGUUGCAGAGACUCUUGUGAACAGAUAGACCCUCUCCUGCCACUCAGAUAGACGUAUCAGGGUCACACACACCUGAUUUAACAACAUGUCAUUAUCUCAGGUGGGCAACAGACAGCAAUUUAGGACCUAUCCCAGUGUGGAUGAAAGACAUUGAGUUGGCU